UCCGGUUGAUCCUGCCGGACCUGACUGCUAUCGGAUUGAUACUAAGCCAUGCGAGUCAUUGUAGCAAUACAAGGCAUACGGCUCAGUAACGCGUAGUCAAUCUACCCUAUGGACGGGGAUAACCUCGGGAAACUGAGAAUAAUACCCGAUAGAACAUUAUACCUGGAAUGGUUUAUGUUUCAAAUAAUUUAUUGCCGUAGGAUGGGACUGCGGCCUAUCAGUUUGUUGGUGAGGUAAUGGCCCACCAAGACUAUUACAGGUACGGGCUCUGAGAGGAGUAGCCCGGAGAUGGGUACUGAGACACGGACCCAGGCCCUAUGGGGCGCAGCAGGCGAGAAAACUUUGCAAUGUGCGAAAGCACGACAAGGUUAAUCCGAGUGGUUUCUGCUAAAGGAACCUUUUGACAGUCCUAGAAACACUGUUGAAUAAGGGGUGGGCAAGUUCUGGUGUCAGCCGCCGCGGUAAAACCAGCACCUCAAGUGGUCAGGAUGAUUAUUGGGCCUAAAGCAUCCGUAGCCUGCUUUGUCAGUUUUCGGUUAAAUCCAUACGCUCAACGUAUGGGCUGCCGGAAAUACUACAAAGCUAGGGAGUGGGAGAGGUAGACGGUACUCGGGAGGAAGUGGUAAAAUGCUUUGAUCUCUCGAUGACCACCUGUGGCGAAGGCGGUCUACCAGAACACGUCCGACGGUGAGGGAUGAAAGCUGGGGGAGCAAACCGGAUUAGAUACCCGGGUAGUCCCAGCUGUAA
rnacentral:rRNA from 1 species